GAGAGAAGAGACUGAGAGGAGAGAGAGAGAGGGGAGAGAGAGGGAGAGAGAGGGGGAGAGAGAGAGGGAGAGAGAGGAGAGACUCCCCGGCUCCCUCCCUCCCUCGCACACAGCGACUGGAGACGGACGGAGAGCAACGCGCUGGGAGAGGAGAGACCACCGAGAACAGCCCCGCGCUCUCACACAUACACUCACACUCGGCUCUUUCCUCUCCCCCCCUCCACCUCCUCCUCCUUCCACCCCCACCACUAACACCAUCUCCUCCUCCUUCUCUCUUCAACAAGAAAAAAAAAAAGCCAUUUACAGUUGUAACAGUUGGAGGAUAAUGCAAAGGAAGACGCUGCCUGGGAAUUCACCGUCUGUGGAAAUGCGCCCCAGAGAGGAAUAAAGCAGUCCUCACCUUGCUCUCCCCACCUGGACCCACUUUCCCCUCCCGCCUCGGCCCCCACCCCAACAUCACCAUCACCCCC
rnacentral:lncRNA from 1 species